AAUCAACGCUGGCGGCGUGCCUAACACAUGCAAGUCGAACGCGAAAGGGACUUCGGUCCUGAGUAGAGUGGCGAACGGGUGAGUAACACGUGGGUGACCUACCUUCGAAUGGGGGAUAACGUCCCGAAAGGGACGCUAAUACCGCAUAACAUCCUGUCCUUGAACGGAUGGUGAUCAAAGCCGGGGAUCGCAAGACCUGGCGUUUGAAGAGGGGCCCGCGUCCGAUUAGCUAGUUGGUGAGGUAACGGCUCACCAAGGCGACGAUCGGUAACCGGCCUGAGAGGGCGGACAGUCACACUGGGACUGAGACACGGCCCAGACUCCUACGGGAGGCAGCAGUGGGGAAUUGUUCACAAUGGGCGCAAGCCUGAUGACGCAACGCCGCGUGGAGGAUGAAGGUCUUCGGAUUGUAAACUCCUGUUGCCCGGGACGAAAAGCUUCGACCUAACACGUCGAAGUCUGACGGUACCGGGUGAGGAAGCCCCGGCUAACUCUGUGC
rnacentral:rRNA from 1 species